rnacentral:lncRNA from 1 species
ACAACUUGAGCUCAAGACAACUACACCUGAGCCAAAUAGACUCACCAGGGCACAUUCUUGUAAUUGAUUAUGAAUAUCAAGUUUUUAUUGCUAAUAAAAAAAGGAAAUUAGAUAUUAUUUUCAUGGACAAUGUGUUAUUUAUAAGUGAAAAUAUAAAUCUACUUAUAAAGCAUGCAAAAAAAAAAAAAAAGGAAGAAAUUAGAAUAAAGAACCCACCUGAAACGAACCCAGAUUGCUGGAUUCGAAGUCCAAAGUGCUAACCACUAUGAGAAGGGAAUCAUCGCAAAGUACAAACCCACACAAUCAGCACGUGAAUAUUAAUUGUUAGGGUUAAAAUAGCAAUAAGGGAAAGAAUUGAUUGGGGAGCAAUUAAGAAGGAAUAAAAGUAAUUAAAUUACUCCAACUUGUUUCUCCUUUUUAAUUUAAAACUUCAGAAUACAAUAGGUUGAUUGCUUAAGAUUUUGUUUGUUUCUUGAUAAAUUUUGAACUACUAGCCUUUCAUAGCAACAAACUACAUGCUUUUUACUUGAUUAAUCUUUUGAUGAUAAUGAUAAUUAAGACAAUAAGAUAUAGAGAAAGAGGCAACUUAAAAUUUUAUGUAACAUAUGGAGUUUAUACUAUUGGAAGGUUACCUGAGCAUGUAGGCACCCGCGCAAAUAAAAAAAUACUGCCAAACAUUCGUUAUGCAUUAAUUUUAAGUUGGUGUAUGACAUAAUUUUCGUAUUUCAAUUAAUAAUUAGACAUGACAUUAUUGAUUAUUAUUAGUCCUAAAGGGCAAAUUGCGGUAUAAAUUUAUUUUAGGGCUAUAGGCUAAUAAUUUUAUCAUCUAGUGUCUUAUAGCAUAGAAAGAAUCUUGUCAAGAAUGACUAUGAGAGAAAGGUGUUCCAAUAAGGCUUAUAAGACUAUAUUUGGUUUUGUAAGAACUUGGAUUUGGAAGAAAGCUUGAGGAAGUUGAAACUGCAUUUUGGCACCAUGAUGCAGAGGAUCAUACAAAGCAGAGCAAGAGAUACAAGGAAGAUAAAGAAGGAAACAAGUGAAGGAGAUAUCGAAUGAAAGAUUUGCCUGAUAGUUUACUUCAGAUAAUGAAAUUGACUAAAGAAAAACAUCAAGGCUUUUACCCUGGUAAUAUAUCAUAUCCUUAACUCAUACGAGUGAAGGCUAAAAAUCAUUCAAACUUCCAUUUCAUUCUUUAUCAGCAAUCAAUUGUACUUGAACCAUUUCAUUUCUUAGAAAAUAAACACCUCUCAAAAUACUAUAUUCCUAUAUUCAGCCUAUACUCCUAUGAUGUAUUUGGUAUGAUGUAGCUAAAUGUCUAUUUGGUGUUGAAUAAAUUAGAAUAAUAAAACUCUAAUUUAUCAAGAAGAAGAAAAACACUCUUAAGAACUAUCUAACAAAAUUGCAAAGAAGAAGAACACUUAAGAAAGCUUUCAAAACGCUUUUAUUUAAGCUUUGAUCCUUGGAUAAUAAAACUCAAAUACAAGGGGGGUAUUUAUAGAUUACAAGAAUCAAUCUACACCAUUCAUUAAAAUAAACACAAACUAAUCUAGACCAUUGAGAUUAAAGAAAUACUACCUAAUUUUCACCUAACUAAAAUGAUGUAGGCAAUGACAUCAAAUUAAUUUGGUGUCCUAACUUUGACCUAACUUUGAAUUUCAACAAUUGGGCUAAUAUUGAUCUUUAACACUCCCCCUCAAUGUUAGCCCCCCAUUCUUUGAAUUACGUCAAGUUGACAGCGGAAAUGUUCAAACUUUCCAACAUUCAAGCUUUUUGUAAGCAAGUCCGCAAUUUGCUUAUCUGUUUUGACUUGCCUCAUCUCAAUUUCUUCUUGCAGAACUUUCUCUCUAACAAAGUGAUAAUGUACUUCCACAUGUUUAGUUCUAGCAUGAAAAACUGGAUUUUCCGCUAGACGAAUUGCUGAUUGGUUAUCACAGUACAACGGAACUGCAUAAUCUACUGGUUGAUGUAGAUCAUUCAUCAGUUGUAUCAGCCAGGUGCUUUCUUGAGCUGCCAUUGCUGCUGCUCGAUACUCAGCUUCUGUGGUUGACAAUGAUACCGUCGGCUGUCUCUUACUACACCAAGAAAUCGUUCCAGAACCAAGCUUAAACAAAUACCCAGUUGUUGAUCUCCUGGUAUCAUGAUCUCCCGCAUAGUCAGCAUCACAGUAACCAACUAGUUUGCAAUCUUUACCUUUCUUGUACAAAAGACCAUAGUCAAUUGUACUCUUCACAUAUCUUAGUAUUCGUCGAACUACUUCCAAAUGAUGCUUCUUUGGAUUUUGCAUGUAUCGACUCAUCACGCCAACUGCAUAAGAAAUGUCAGGUCGAGUCAAGGUUAAGUAGAUCAAACUACCUACCAAUUGUCGAUACAUCGUUGCAUCUUCCAAAUCUUUUCCUUCAUGUGUACACAUUUUGGCAUUUGGUUCCAUUGGCGUCGAAAUUGGCUUGCACUCGAGCAUUCCAAACCUCUUCAAUAAAUCUUUGGAAUAUUUUUGCUGACAAAGAAAUAUCCCUUCUUGUGAACGAUCAAUCUCUAGACCAAGGAAGUGCUUGAGUUGUCCAAGUUCCUUCAUUUGGAAACGGACUGAUAAAUUCUCCUUUGUCUGAAGAACUUCUGCCUCAUCAUCACCGGUUAUGAUCAAAUCAUCCACAUACACUAGUACGAUAGCUAGUUUUCCUCCAUUGGCUUUGACAAAUAAGCUAGAAUCUGCAGGUGUUACUGAAUAACCACUUUGAGUUAGAAAUUCAGCAAUCUUACCAUACCAUGCCCUGGGAGCUUGUUUUAAUCCAUAGAGUGCUUUCUGUAGCUUACACACAUAUUCAGGAUGAUCUUGACUCUGGAAACCCAUUGGUUGAACCAUAUAGAUCUCCCGAUCCAGCUCUCCAUGAAGAAAAGCAUUUUUAACAUCCAUCUGCCAUAAACUCCAAUCUUUGUUGGCCGCCAGUGCAAGUAGGACUCGUACUGUUGUAAGUUUCGCCACUGGACUAAACGUUUCAUCAUAGUCUAGUCCAUAUUGUUGAGAGAAACCACGCGCUACCAAUCGUGCCUUGUACCUCUCGAUUGACCCAUCUGGACGACGCUUUAUCUUGUAAACCCACUUACAGGAUAUGGGUUUCACAUCUCUUGGCUUUGGUAUAAGUUUCCAAGUUUGAUUUUGCUCAAGUGCAGUAAUUUCUUCUUUCAUAGCUGUCAUCCAUUCUGAACUCUGCGAUGCUUCUUCAAACGUCUCAGGUUCUGUUACAGCUUCUUCUUUAAUUAUAGCUGCAUUGGCGUAUUUGGGAUUUGGCUUUCUAGUUCUUGUUGAUCUUCGGAGUUGAGAUUGUGGAGUUGAUUCUUCCGGUUCACUGGACCCAUCUUCUUCAUCUGGUUGUUGAUAUACCCCAGUUUGCCAAGGAUUCUGGCUUACUGUUUGUUCAUCAUCAUUCUUCCAUGGAUCUUCAACUUUUUCUGGACUUGAUUGAAUUUGGACAGUAUGCUCCCCCAUAUUCUGUUGCAGCUUGUCUUGAAAUUCUUUUGAGUCUGGCAAUACUCCCUUUUCUGAGGUCCACCAUGAGGAUGCUUCAUCGAACACCACAUCUCGUGAUGUGUAGCACCUUCCACUUGUUGGAUCACAACAUUUCCACCCCUUUCUCUGGUUAUCGUAUCCCACAAAGAUACAUCUGAUUGCUUUCUUAUCGAUCUUGCUACGUAGAUUGUCAGGAACAAAUACAUAGCAUACACAGCCAAAUACUCGAAGGUAGCUAACUGUAGGUUUCUUUUUCCACAAUUUCUCAAAGGGUGAAACAAAAUCCAACCUUUGUUGAGGAAGUUUAUUGAUGACAUGAGCUGCAGUUCUCAUAGCUUCGGCCCAAAAUCUUCCAGGUACAUUUUUCGCAUGUAACAUGCUCUGGCAAAUUUCUGCAAGAUGCCGGUUCUUUCUCUCAGCUACACCAUUUUGUUGUGGCGUGUUGGCACAAGUGUACUGAUGACGUAUUUGACAUGCCCGUAGAAAUUGAGAGAACUCUCCUGAGCUAUAUUCUCCCCCAUUGUCUGUGCGCAAGCAAUGAAUCUUUUGCUCCACUUCUCCUUCAAUCAUCUCUUUGAACUCUUUGAACUUUGAGAAUGCUUCAGAUUUGUCUUUCAUGAAGAAAACCCAUACAUAUCUAGAGAAAUCGUCAAUGAACGUCACCAUAUACCGCAUUCCGCCAAUUGAUGUUUGUCUAACAGGUCCAAACACAUCAGAGUGAAUUAACUCUAAUGGUUUCUUUGCUUUGAACUUUGACUCCUCAUAUGGCAGUUGAUGUGCUUUACCAUAUUGACAUCCUGCGCAGACUGUAUCCGUUCUCACAUCAAGUUGAGGAAGUCCUUCAAGCAUCGACUUCUUCACCAUCAUACUUAGCUUGGAAUAGCUAACAUGCCCUAAUCGCAUGUGCCAUAGAUCUGCUGUCUCAUUUUUCCUUGUCUUGUCUACAUAUGCAGACUCUGCUGACAUCACAUAGACCGACUCCAAUCGUUGCCCCUCCAUUAUCGGUUUUUCUAAGAUUUUAAGAUAACGAUAUACCUUUACAUCUUGAGGACCGAACAAGACAUAGUGGCCUGAUGAUGUCAAUUGAGCCACGGAUAGCAAAUUUUUCUUCAUUCCCUGAACAUGAUAGACAUCUUCGAGUGGAACUUGAUUGGGAUUAUAUCGAGGUGUAAUAAUAGCUUUACCAAUGUGAGCUAUUGGUAACCUUGAGUUAUCAGCCGUUAUCACAACACGAUUUCCCUUAUACUCAGAUAGGUCUUGCAGCUUCUGUUUAUCACCCGUCAUGUGAUUUGAGCAACCCGAGUCUACAAUCCAAUCAUUCUUAUAGUCUAUUCGUUUUGCUGUUGUUACCGUAAGAGCUAAUUCUUCUUUCUCCAUAGCAAAUGAUGCUUCGACAUCCCAAUCGUCUUCGAUAUUUUUCUUAGAACUGGAAGUAGCAGCAUUACUUUCAGCGGACUUUUUCUUGGACCAACAAUCUUUUGCCAUAUGGCCCAUCUUCCCGCAAUUGUAACACUCGCCAUCAAACUUUCUACUACUGCCGCGAUUCUUCGAAGCUCCCCCUGGACGAGAGCCUCCUUUUCCUUGGUGAUUUUUCAUCUUGUCACCACCCUUUUUAGAUCCACCUUUGUUGUAUUGUUUUGAACCACCUCUACUUUGGUUGGUGUAGAGCGCUUCCUCUUCACCCCUUAGCGAGACUCCUCCCAUUUGUUUAGCCAUAGCUUCUUGACCGGCCAACAAAUUUUCAAACUCAACAAGAGAUGGUUGUGUCGGCCAUCCUUGUACUGCUUAACAUCCAUCUGCCAUAUUCGCGACAUAUCGUCUUCACCUUGUGAAAGUAUUGGGCAACCGUCAUAUCACGUUGCGCCAUUGAUAGAAGUUCAUUCUCCAAAAGUUGCAAUUUUGUAUCGUUCUUCUUUGAAAAGAGUGUAGCAAACGUGUCCCACGCUUCUUUCGGUGUUUUGGCAUCCCGAAUGUGCUCCAACAUUUCUUCUUCUAUUGUGGUCUUUAAAGCAAACAUUGCUUUGCCUGCUUUAAUUUUCCACUUCCGUAAGACGCCGUUGGCAUCUUCUACUGCCGGUUGUGUAACUUCACUACCACCGACGACUUCCCACAAGUCUUGACCUUGUAGGUAAGACUCCAUACAUGUUGCCCACAUGUUGUAGUUUUGGUUGUUGAGCUUCUUGAUUCCUCCACUGACAUGAAGAUCACCCAUCUUUUGCCUUAAGUCAAAUAAAAUACCAAGAAAAUUUCUUUCAGAUGUGGAAGAUCAGUCUAAGCUGCAACCACAGUGCCUACUUAAAAUUAUCCGUGUAUUUAACUUGAACCUAGGCUCUGAUACCAAAUGUUGAAUAAAUUAGAAUAAUAAAACUCUAAUUUAUCAAGAAGAAGAAAAACACUCUUAAGAACUAUCUAACAAAAUUGCAAAGAAGAAGAACACUUAAGAAAGCUUUCAAAACGCUUUUAUUUAAGCUUUGAUCCUUGGAUAAUAAAACUCAAAUACAAGGGGGGUAUUUAUAGAUUACAAGAAUCAAUCUACACCAUUCAUUAAAAUAAACACAAACUAAUCUAGACCAUUGAGAUUAAAGAAAUACUACCUAAUUUUCACCUAACUAAAAUGAUGUAGGCAAUGACAUCAAAUUAAUUUGGUGUCCUAACUUUGACCUAACUUUGAAUUUCAACAAUUGGGCUAAUAUUGAUCUUUAAC